UCCCUUGUGGCUCAGCUGGUAAAGAAUCUGCCUGCAAUGCAGGAGACCUGGGUUUGAUCCCUGGCUUGGGAA
rnacentral:tRNA from 1 species